CGACCGCUCCAUGCUCCUCUUCCCCUUCCGUUUAAUUGCCGCAACUCUCACUGCCUGCCUGCCUGUUGUUCGGAAUGCGAUUCUGAUUACUACAUGCAUUGGAAUUAAUGUACUACUUUGCAAAAAUUCUUGUCUGCUAAUUCAUUUUUCCAUCCCACUGUCGUUAGUCUGUUCUUCAGUUCCCAUUCAUUUUAUUUUGUCUCUUGUGUGAGAUGUGUUCUGCAAACUGCUGUCUUCUUAGGAUUAUUUUUUUUAUAGAGUAAUAGUUUAAAUUUUGAAGUAAGAGGUGUAUCGGAUUUUCAAUUACAUUAUUUGCUAAAUGAACUAGCCUUUGGUUAGUUUCCUGAAAUCCUGUCAGUAUCUCUUUUAAAUUGUGUAUACUGAACAUUAGGCUUAGGUCCUAUUUUGUGUUGGAUCUGUGCAGCUAAUAAUUCAUGAGUAGCUAUAUUAUUUGAUGGCUUCAUGUUUCAAAAAAAUGCUGGCUUAAUGUGGUGCACAAUUGAUCUAAUAGCUUCAGAUUUCAGUAAUACAGAUUCUAGACUAGGCUCUUCAGAUUUCAGCAAUACAGAGGUAUAAUAAUUACCUUACCAAAUACUUAUUCCAUACCUAGGGUAUUCCAUACCAAAUCUGCUGCUGUUUUGAGUCGAUUAGCAUUUGAUCCUCCCUGCUGUCGCUUGAUUGUCCGCAUUGGUGGCAACGAUUUAUGAUUGGAUUCCUCGCGUUAAAUCGAGUAGUAGGCGUACCUUCUGGUGUUUUCAGCCUAUUAGCAGUCCCAAAUGUAGUGACGGCUGGGUGCAGAAGCAACCAAUUCAGAUUUGUUCUAAUUUGGUGAUGUGAGCAGUUUGAUUUAUUUUUGUCAUAUCAUGAUUUCAUUAGCCGGAGUGCAGGCUCGGGCCUUUGGAUGUGGUACGACUGUAUGAGCGCCUGUGAGUCAUUUUUCCUCAUUCGUAGUCCUUAUUCAUCGUGUGCGGGAGUGAGUUUAGAGGUUCCAUUUCUGGUUCCUUUGCUCUGAGUUGAUGUAAAAGACCCAGGAUUGGGGGAGGUUGGCUGUUCGUCGCUUCAAGCUCCUGUUCGAAGAAAUGCCUGCAAGCCGUGUGUAGCCAAUGCAAAAGUAACGUAAACUUGCUAUGCAAUCUUGGCCGUGUACAGGUGUGGUCACUGAACGGAAUAUGACAUCAAAAUUGGUAAAGGUGUGGUCACUGGAAGGAAUCUGACAUCAAAAUUGUAUCUUGCUAGAGUAUAUGAUCAAUUUGCCGUACUCUCUGGUUAUGGCUAGCAUAUAUUGCGGUAACUGUGUCCAGCAUAGCUAUGUAAAAAGCUAACAGGAUGUCUUCUGCAAUGUAUUGAUGUAAAAGAUCUGGUAUUGGGGAGGUUGGAGAUUUUGAAAUCUGAAAUACUUAGCACAUUAAUAUUGCCUGAGCUAUGUUUUCUAUGCAUUUUUGUUUGAACAGUUGAGAAUAGAAGUACAUCAUGCAACCUUAUAUUUAUCCUAGGUUCUAUUCAGAAAUUUGGUCCAUUCAGAUUGUUUAUUGAGAAUAUAAGACUGCUGAAAUUUCGUCUCUCAUUUCACAGGUGAUCCAAUCACCCUCUACUUUGAGAAGCUACAAGCUAGAUGGAAAAUUGCUGCAGGUAGGUAGUAGUUCAAAUCUUUCUGUUCAGAAAGAACUGAGGAGGAGACUGGGAUCUUCUUUUAUCCUGAAAUAAUGUGUCACUAGCAAUGUUCUCACUAGAGGUAUUCUAUUCAGUUUCUUUGAACUUUACAUAGAAAUAGCAACAAGCUUGUAAUCCCAUAGAGUUAAUUUUAUAGUCCAUAAUAGACUGAUCUAACCGAUAAGCUGAUUUCCUGCUACUUGAAACAUGAGCUUUGCUAAUGGGUGAUGAGACGCUUCCCUGCUAGAUCAGAGACAACACUUAUCUCUACCAUUUUUCAUUCUUUCAGCUAAAAACUCAUGAGAGGCUUACAUGUUGGAUCAGGAUGUAAAUAUAAGUUAGAUAUUGUUACAAACUCACAUGGCUUCUAUUGGUGAAGUUUGCAUCUAUACUCUUUUCUUUCAGACAGAUAGGAUGUGCUUUACUCUAAACAAAAAUAAUUGACAUUUGUCGAGGAUCCACAGACAACAGGUCAAUCUGGUAACUUAUGGACACGCCAGAAAAAUUGAUGACCCGGUGUGGGCUAGAGAUAGCUGCAUCAGAUGUCUAGACCUUUCAAUCUAGAAUUGUAAUAUUCUUCUCUCAGUGUUCAACUUCAGCUUGGCCUUUUCUCAACAAUAGAUAAUUUUGAUGCAACGAUCUAUAGCCAUUCAAACACCUGGUUGCCGGGACAUGAAGGCACAAGUAUUUUAUGGGAUGACUGAUAUGGAUGUAUGUCCAGCAACUGAGUGUAGCAGAGAUGCGGAUGUUGCGGUGGUUUUGCGGAGCAUACAAGGAGGGAUAGAGUCCGGAACGAAGUUAUUCGGGAUAGGAUCGGGGUGGCACCAAUUGAGGAGAAACUUACCCAGCAUCGGCUGAGAUGGUUUGGACAUGUCCAACGAAGACCUCCUGAUGCGCCGGUGUGUAAUGGGGUUCUUGAGCGGGUCGAUAAUGUAAAGAGAGGUAGAUGUAGACCUAAACUGACAUGGGAUGAGUCAGUUAAGAGAGACCUUAAGGAUUGGAAUAUCUCUAAAGAGAUAGUUUUGGAUAGGAGCUAUUGGAGACUAGCUAUCAAUGUGCCUGAAUCUUGAACUUAUUUCUUUCGGGUUUCAUCUCUAGCCUACCCUAACUUGCUUGGGAAAAAAGGCUAUGUUGUUGUUGUUGUAGUAGUAGUAGUACUGAUAUGGAUGUAUGGCUUAACAAAGCUGAGCCGAAGGGAGAGAAUUUUAAGCUUAAUAAAAAUGUAGUGAAUCAUUAUAUGAGAUA